rnacentral:rRNA from 1 species
UACGAAGGGUGCAAGCGUUAAUCGGAAUUACUGGGCGUAAAGCGUGCGUAGGUGGUCUUUUAAGUCCGUUGUGAAAGCCUUGGGCUCAACCUGGGAAUGGCAGUGGAUACUGGGAGGCUGGAGUACGGUAGAGGAGGGUGGAAUUCCCGGUGUAGCGGUGAAAUGCGUAGAGAUCGGGAGGAACAUCAGUGGCGAAGGCGGCCCUCUGGACCAGUACUGACGCUGAGGCACGAAAGCGUGGGGAGCAAACAGG